GUCCACACUGUAAACGAUGAACACUAGGUAUAGGGAGUAUCGACCCUCUCUGUGCCAAAGCCAACGCGUUAAGUGUUCCGUCUGGGGAGUACGGCCGCAAGGCUAAAACUCAAAGGAAUUGACGGGGGGCCCCGCACAAGCAGCGGAGCGUGUGGUUUAAUUCGAUGCAAAGCGAAGAACCUUACCAAGGCUUGACAUGACGGAAGUAGGGACCCGAAAGGGCGACGAACUGUCAAAUCACUAACCGCCACAGGUGCUGCAUGGCUGUCGU
rnacentral:rRNA from 1 species